AACGAACGCUGGCGGCAGGCCUAACACAUGCAAGUCGAACGCUCCGCAAGGGGAGUGGCGCACGGGUGAGUAACACGUGGGAACCUACCUUCUGGUACGGAACAACCAAGGGAAACUUUGGCUAAGACCGUAUACGACCUCCGGGUGAAAGAUUGAUCGCCGGAAGAGGGGCCCGCGUCCGAUUAGGUAGUUGGUGAGGUAACGGCUCACCAAGCCUUCGAUCGGUAGCUGGUCUGAGAGGAUGACCAGCCACACUGGGACUGAGACACGGCCCAGACUCCUACGGGAGGCAGCGGUGGGGAAUAUUGGACAAUGGGCGCAAGCCUGAUCCAGCCAUGCCGCGUGAGUGAUGAAGGCCUUCGGUUGUAAG
rnacentral:rRNA from 1 species